ACACGUAGGGGGCGAGCGUUGUUCGGAAUCAUUGGGCGUAAAGGGCGUGCAGGCGGUCGUGCAAGUCCGGCGUGAAAGACCCCGGCCCAACCGGGGGGACGCGCUGGAAACUGCAGGGCUUGAGUACAGGAGGGGAUGCCGGAAUUCCAGGUGUAGGGGUGAAAUCUGUAGAUAUCUGGAAGAACACCAAUGGCGAAGGCAGGCAUCUGGCCAUGUACUGACGCUGAGACGCGAAGGUGCGGGGAGCAAACAGGUUUAGAUACCCUGGUAGUCCGCACAGUAAACGAUGUGCACCAGGUGGCGGGGGGUCGACCCCCGGUACCGUAGCUAACGCAUUAAGUGCACCGCCUGGGGAGUAUGCUCGCAAGGGUGAAACUCAAAGGAAUUGACGGGG
rnacentral:rRNA from 1 species